rnacentral:lncRNA from 1 species
AUUGGCUUGACUACUUUGUGGUCGCUAAUUCACUUGAAUUCUUAUAAAUUGGACGGUUCUGUUACACACAUACAUCCAUUCAUUUCCAUCUCCAGAUUCACCCAAAAUUAUUCUAUUCCUAUCUAGGAGAGAAUAGCCAAAAACAUUAUCCUAUCCCUGUUACUCCCCGUGAAAUAAAUGCUUUUGAUAUUUUGGUUACUACCACUUGCUACAUUAUUCUAGGAGGGUGAGUGCUCUGAAAAAAAAGAGUGAAUACAUGGAAAUAAAAAGGGGCAAGUGCCCAAAACCUCGAAGAAAAGAAAAAGUGAGACGAGAGGUGAAAAUGGACAAGUGUCCGACAGUAGAAUUAGGGUUACAAGAUACCCACCUGAGAGAUAAAAAAAGGAAAAUAUAGAGCAUCUCAUUCCACUCAAAAACCUUCAAAGUGCAAGAAAGGUAUGUAUCCCCUCAAAAGAGCAAAAGUAGAAUUAGUCUUUCACCAUUAUUUUCACCAUUAUUACCAUCAUCACCAUACACCAUUCAUCCGCCACACAUGCACAUCUUGAUUUGACUUAUUGACUUGUUUCUCUGGAUCCAUGGUUUGACUACACAAUAAAUGUCUUGUAAGUAUGUAUUAGCUGUCUCCCACCUAUGAGCUCCAGAUAUCAAAACCUUGUUAGAGUAGGGUGAG